rnacentral:rRNA from 1 species
CCUACGGGUGGCUGCAGUGGGGAAUCUUCCACAAUGGGCGAAAGCCUGAUGCAGCAACGCCGCGUGAAGGAAGACGGUUUUCGGAUCGUAAACCUCUGUUCUUAGUGAAGAACAAUGACGGUAAUAAAGGAGCAAGCCCUGGCUAACUACGUGCCAGCAGCCGCGGCAAUAUGCAGGUGGCAAGCGUUGUUCGGAAUUACUGGGCGUAAAGCGAGCGUAGGCGGGUAGCUAAGUCCGCUGUGAAAGCUACGGGCUUAACCUGUAGACUGCAGUUGAAACUGGCUUUCUUGAGUGAAGUAGAGGAGAGCGGAAUUCCGAGUGUAGCGGUGAAAUGCGUAGAUAUACGGAGGAACACCAGUGGCGAAGGCGGCCAACUGGGCUUUAACUGACGCUGAGGCUCGAAAGUGUGGGGAGCAAACAGGAUUAGAUACCCCAGUAGUC